AUGGCCUACACGUUCCGGAUCCACUGCCGCGCCUCCGACGACCUCAGCCUCGCCCUCGUCGACGGCGAAGUCGUCCUCGCCGCCGCCGACCCCAGCGACGACCGCCAGCUCUGGCAGAAGGACGUGAUGUACGCCGGCGGCGUCAAGGUCCUCAAGGACGAGGCCGGCAACCCGGCGUUCGCUCUGGUCAACAAGGCCACCGGAGACGCGCUGAAGCACUCCCUCGGCUACAAUCUGCCCGUCAGAGCCAUCCGGUUCAACCCGGGGUACCUCGACGAGUCGGUCCUGUGGGCGGAGACCGGCGACGUGGGCGGAGGCUACCGGCUAAUCCACAUGGUCAAUAACAUGGAUUACAUAUUCGACGCAGAGAAGGCGACCCCGCAGUUCGGCGGCGCGCGCGACGGCACGCGGCUCAUCCUCUUCCGCUGGAACCGCGGCCACAACCAGCUCUGGCGGAUCUCUGACGCGCCGGCUGGCCGCGGACCGCCGGUGCGGGUCUCGUGCGAGUGCAACAACGAGCUGAGUCUCGCCAUCCGCGACGGCGCCGCCGUCCUCGCGCGCACCGACCUGGACGACGACACACAGGCUUGGGUGCAGAGCUUCCGGAACACCGGGCGCGUGACGGACUCGGAGGGGCGCAGCUCGUUCGCGCUGGUGAACAAGUCCACCGGGAAGGCGCUGAGGCGCUCCCACGGCGACCAGAAGGUUGAAGUCGUCAGCUACAGCCUGGACUCGGUGGACGUCGCGCUGCUGUGGACGACGAGCGGCGAUCUUAGGGAAGGGUCCCAUUGCAUCCGCAGCGUCAGCAACCUCGGGUACGUCCUCGAUGCGUCGGAGGGCGAGACCACCGGGGCGCAUGAUGGGACGCCCGUCAUCUCGUUCCAGUCCCACAGCGGCGCAAAUCAGAAGUGGAAGACGACGCCGUUUCCUUACCUGGCUUUCCUAUCCGUUCUCGGGAACUGCUAG
rnacentral:rRNA from 1 species